rnacentral:rRNA from 1 species
AUUGAACGCUGGCGGCAUGCUUUACACAUGCAAGUCGAACGGCAGCGGGGUAGUGCUUGCACUACUGCCGGCGAGUGGCGAACGGGUGAGUAAUAUAUCGGAACGUACCGAGUAAUGGGGGAUAACCAAUCGAAAGAUUGGCUAAUACCGCAUACGUCCUGAGGGAGAAAGCGGGGGAUCGCAAGACCUCGCGUUAUUCGAGCGGCCGAUAACUGAUUAGCUAGUUGGUGGGGUAAAGGCCUACCAAGGCGACGAUCAGUAGCGGGUCUGAGAGGACGAUCCGCCGCACUGGGACUGAGACACGGCCCAGACUCCUACGGGAGGCAGCAGUGGGGAAUUUUGGACAAUGGGGGCAACCCUGAUCCAGCCAUGCCGCGUGUAUGAAGAAGGCCUUCGGGUUGUAAAGUACUUUUGUUAGGGAAGAAAAGGGAAGUGCUAAUACCACUUUUUGCUGACGGUACCUAAAGAAUAAGCACCGGCUAACUACGUG